GACGUAGGGGGGCGAGCGUUUGUCCGGAUUUAUUGGGCGUAAAGCGUGCGUAGGCGGCUGCGCAAGUCGGUUGUGAAACCCCCGGGGCUCAACCCCCGGAACUGCAUCCGAUACUGCGUGGCUAGAGGUAGGUAGGGGAGAUCGGAAUUCCUGGUGUAGCGGUGAAAUGCGCAGAUAUCAGGGAGGAACACCGGUGGCGAAGGCGGAUCUCUGGGCCGAUACUGACGCUGAGGCGCGGAAAGCCAGGGGAGCAAACGGG
rnacentral:rRNA from 1 species